AUACGAGAUUCUAUUUGGGACUGCACCUAGGCUAGGUUGCUAUUUUCCCCAACAACUACAACUUCAAACUGAUGUUUUAGUAGAUUAUGUAACUGAACUCGCAAAUGCUUUGAACAAAAUCCAUGCCCAAGUUUUCUCUAAAAUUCCAGAUCCUGAUUCUGACACAGGCAACCACAGUCUGCUCCCCGGUGACUGGGUUCUGGUCAAGAAAUUUGUGCGAAAACAUACCCUGGAACCAAGAUUUGAC